GUUACCGAAGUGUGAGAACGGUCAUAUGUGAAGUGAAUUCGGCUGAUCCUCCUUAUACCAUCAAGAUCUUCCUCACCACUCGGGGUAGAACAAGUAUAUAAGGACCAAGAUAUAAGGAUCAAGAUAUAAGGACCUUUGUCUACCACUCGGGGUCUGACAAAGUCUAAGAAUGACACUUGCCUACCACGAAGGGCCUGGCAAAGUCAAAAGAUGACAUUCGCCUACCACGAAAGGCCUGACGAAGUCAAAAGGAUCACCUGCCGAAGAGGCUACCAUCGAAUGGUCAGCGAGUCCUCCCGAACCUCCUAUCAAAACCAAAAGAUGACAUUCGCCUACCACGAAGGGCCUGACGAAGUCUAAGUGGCGACAAU
rnacentral:lncRNA from 1 species